UGGAAUCUCCUGGAAAAUAAAAUUUAAUUCAAACACUCAUUAAAUUGGACAAUACUUAGAAUAAUGAUUAAAAAAGUUAUAAGUGUUACUACUAUAUUUUUUAUAAUUAUCUUCAUGAACAAUGUUGAUAAUAUUUCUGGAACAAUUGAAGACGAUCGAGAGCUGGUCGCUUCUAAUUUUCCCUACGGAAGAGGAGUGGACAGUGAUCAGCUGCAGUUAGCAAAGAUCUUACUAUUUCCCCAACGUAUGUGUCAUUCGAAAAGGAACUCUGAGAUAAUUAAUUCACUUUUGGGCUUACCAAAAAAUAUGAAUAAUGCAGGGAAAUAGACUCGCU